UCCCACUCCAGACAGACGCAGGUUAAGAUCCUCCCUGCUCAUCCAUCUGGUGUCAACUCCUGUGACAGCGGUGGGCUAGUGCAUCGAGGCCCUGUGGCAGAAGCUGAGGCCCUGUAAAGCCCCGUCACGGGGAUGUCCACUGAAGAUCCUGAAAUGGCUAACCCAUCUGUCCAGGUCACCUGACUAAGCGAUCACAGAAGGAUGGGAAACUCCAACAAGAGCUCUACUUGCUUUCCAGGUGGUCACACCACUUCUGUAGGGACCGUGAGACACAGAAGGAAAUGGCCCAUUCUGGGCUCAACCUGGCCUGCAACUGCCUCCCCUGCACGCUUCCCCUCACUGCCACGCUCCACACUGACACUCGAGGUGACCUUGAAAGCAGUAAAUAAAGAAGCAUUGGCUGGGGCACCUGGCGAUGUUGAAAGGAGUGACUCUGUGCCUGCUACCUCUACAUCUGAAAGGAAAAGCACACUGUGUCACGCUCUCAGCCUCAGCUGUAUCGUUAGAGCACUGGCCUUUCUUCAACAGCUAUGCCCACCACUCAAGCCUCAGCAACCAUGUCCCACUAGGAGAAAUGAAAAGCCAGAUACCCUCUGACCCAGAGGCGUGCAUGUGUCCUUGACUGUGGUGCUCUGAUCUACUUAACCUAGACUCGGACUGAACUGACUGCACAGAGAGGCCAGUGAUGGGCACAUGUAGGAGGAGAGGUCGUGGUAGAAGCUGUUUCUCUGCUCUCAGGGGACAGAGGUAUCCGAGGGUUCAAGCUCGGGGAUCAGCGAUGUGGGGGCAGCCCUGGGUCCUUUGCAGCUGGCAUGUGAGUUUAAGGUUUAUGUAAGUGUGU